rnacentral:rRNA from 1 species
ACGGGAGGCAGCAGUGGGGAAUAUUGGACAAUGGGGGAAACCCUGAUCCAGCGACGCCGCGUGAGUGAAGAAGUAUUUCGGUAUGUAAAGCUCUAUCAGCAGGGAAGAUGAUGACGGUACCUGACUAAGAAGCCCCGGCUAACUACGUGCCAGCAGCCGCGGUAAUACGUAGGGGGCGAGCGUUGUCCGGAAUGACUGGGCGUAAAGGGUGUGUAGGUGGUUUGAUAAGUUAGAAGUGUAAUACCCAGGGCUUAACUCGGGUGCUGCUUCUAAAACUGUUAGACUUGAGUACUGGAGAGGAUAGUGGAAUUCCUAGUGUAGCGGUGGGAUGCGUAGAUAUUAGGAGGAACAUCAGUGGCGAAGGCGACUAUCUGGACAGCAACUGACACUGAGGCACGAAAGCGUGGGGAGCAAACAGGAUUAGAUACCCUGGUA